CUUUUCUGUAAAAAUUUAAUAAAAUAUAAAUAUUAUGUAUUGUGUAUAUAGUGCAAAAAACAUAGUGACUUACGACCGAAUGUACUUUAAAUGUGACCGACUUUUUCGUCAAAUUCAUAACCCAAAUUGCGUGAAUUGUGUGGAGGCACUGUCACUAAAGAUGGACAUGCUUGAGGUCCCUUGUGUUGAUAUAAUACAACAGUUAUACAAAAGCAGUCUAAAGCAAAAUAUGACAUUUAAAUGUAGAUUUUCAAACAGUACAACAUUUUUUACCUUCUAGAAGGAGUUGCUGCUGUUUCUGAGAUGACUGGGCUAAGAAGUACUGAAUCCUGUGGAAACCAGAAAUCAAAUUUAAACAAAAUGACACCCAUAGCAAGCACUUUAUUAAAAAAAAGUAAAUUAAAAAAUGCUGCUUUCACAGUAAGCCAAGAUGGACUUAUAUUAGCAAGCACUUUAUUUAAACAAUUUCAGUAAAUUAAAAAAUGCUGCUUUCACGGUAAGCCAAGAUGGACUUAUAUCCCUAAGGUUUUAUUGCAUUUAAGUUGUUAUUUUGCUUUCAUGAGAACUAUAGCCAACAUCAGAAUUAAGUCUUUUAAAACAAAAUGUAAAAAUCACGAGGUGUGCAACUUUGUUUCAGUUGGUUCAAGCAAACUUUAGGAAUUGUGUAAAUAACAUGGUUGAACAUAAUCAUAUGAGUCGAAACUGGUCAAAGACAGGGUGACGACGGCUUAGAAAAAAGAAGAAAUAGGCGAUUGUCUGAGCAAAAUGAAGCUGCCAUCUGGCAAAGGGACUCUUGGACUACCUAACAGCUAAGUCACUUUUGAACACUUUUUGAUUAUGGAGUCCGUUUAUGAGAGUGUAUCUAAAACAUACCAUAAAGUAGAUUGUUAACUAUGCUAUUUACUAGGAAAAAAGUAGUUUACUGUUUGUGAUCUUACAUCAUUAUGUCAUGACGUUUUCAUAUAAUCCUUCAUGACGUCAUGAUAGCUUUAUAUAAUGUUUCAUGUUCGUUA